AACGAACGCUGGCGGCAUGCCUAACACAUGCAAGUCGAACGAGACCUUCGGGUCUAGUGGCGCACGGGUGCGUAACGCGUGGGAACCUGCCCUUAGGUUCGGACUAACUCCCCGAAAGGGGUGCUAAUAACGGAUAAUGUCUUCGGACCCAAGAUUUAUCGCCUGUGGAUGGGCCCGCGUUGGAUUAGCUAGUUGGUAGGGUAAAAGCCUACCAAGGCGACGAUCCAUAGCUGGUCUGAGAGGAUGAUCAGCCACACUGGGACUGAGACACGGCCCAGACUCCUACGGGAGGCAGCAGUGGGGAAUAUUGGACAAUGGGCGAAAGCCUGAUCCAGCAAUGCCGCGUGAGUGAUGAAGGCCUUAGGGUUGUAAAGCUCUGUUACCCGGGAUGAUAAUGACAGUACCGGGAGAAUAAGCUCCGGCUAACUCCGUG
rnacentral:rRNA from 1 species